rnacentral:rRNA from 1 species
GAUGAACGCUAGCGGCAGGCUUAAUACAUGCAAGUCGAGGGGUAGCAAGAUUGUAGCAAUACUGGGCGGCGACCGGCAAACGGGUGCGGAACACGUACACAACCUUCCGAGAAGUGGGGAAUAGCCCAGAGAAAUUUGGAUUAAUACCCCGUAACAUAACGAUGUGGCAUCACAUUGUUAUUAUAGCUUCGGCGCUUCUUGAUGGGUGUGCGGCUGAUUAGAUAGUUGGCGGGGUAACGGCCCACCAAGUCUACGAUCAGUAGCUGAUGUGAGAGCAUGAUCAGCCAAACGGGCACUGAGACACGGGCCCGACUCCUACGGGAGGCAGCAGUAAGGAAUAUUGGUCAAUGGACGCAAGUCUGAACCAGCCAUGCCGCGUGAAGGAUUAAGGUCCUCUGGAUUGUAAACUUCUUUCAUCUGGGACGAAAAAAGGCGAUUCUUCGUCACUUGACGGUACCAGAUGAAUAAGCACCGGCUAACUCCGUGCCAGCCGCCGCGGUAACAC